UUAAUCUAUUAAUUUUGAAUGAAAAAGAAGUUUUAUUUGUACAAAUUUUGGUGUUGAAAAUUUUAAAAAAUUAAGAAAGAGUAUGGAUAAAAUUACAGUGUAAAAGGUGAGUUUUGUUAAUACGUAGAAGUUUAUAAAAGGGUGCCAGCAUGAGCGGUUAUACUUUUUACUUUUUUUUAUUAAUUAAAAAAGUUUUAUAUGCGAGUUUACGGUAAUUAUUAGAUUAAAUAAUUAAAGGGGGGUUUAAUUUUUAAAGAGUUUAAAGUUGAUACUAUAAUACUUAAGUAGUAAUUGGGCAUUAACAUGGAUUAGAUACCCAUUUAGAGUGUAUAAAUAAAAAAUAGAUAAUCAAUAACUAUUAAGAAAAAAUGGGGGUUAUUAAAAUUUGGGCGGAUUAUGGCCCUAUAAAAAGAAAUUACUCUUUAUUCAGAUUAAAAAAAUUUAUAAAGUUUUUUUUAUUUAUUACUGUCUUAAGUUAUUUAAAAAAAUAAUUUUUAAAAUUUUAAAUUUAAAAGUCAAGUUUGUUGUAGAAUGUUUAUAAAAGAGGCUUUAAUAUAGUUAUAAUAAUAAAAAAUUAAAAUUAGUGGUAAGUUAGUUCAAAAAAUUUUUAAAAGAGUUCAAAGUAAUAGUAUUAUUUUGUUAGGUUUAUACAAAAAUAUUAAAUUAAAGUGAAUAUUUUUUAUUAAAGUACAAACCGCCCAUCAUUCCUUUAUUUUGAUAAAGGGUAAGUUGUAACAAGGUAAUAUUACUGGAAGGUUAGAUUGAA
rnacentral:rRNA from 1 species